AAAUUGAAGAGUUUGAUCAUGGCUCAGAUUGAACGCUGGCGGCAGGCCUAACACAUGCAAGUCGAACGGUAACAGGAAGAAGCUUGCUUCUUUGCUGACGAGUGGCGGACGGGUGAGUAAUGUCUGGGAAACUGCCCGAUGGAGGGGGAUAACUACUGGAAACGGUAGCUAAUACCGCAUAACGUCGCAAGACCAAAGAGGGGGACCUUCGGGCCUCUUGCCAUCGGAUGUGCCCAGAUGGGAUUAGCUUGUUGGUGAGGUAACGGCUCACCAAGGCGACGAUCCCUAGCUGGUCUGAGAGGAUGACCAGCCACACUGGAACUGAGACACGGUCCAGACUCCUACGGGAGGCAGCAGUGGGGAAUAUUGCACAAUGGGCGCAAGCCUGAUGCAGCCAUGCCGCGUGUAUGAAGAAGGCCUUCGGGUUGUAAAGUACUUUCAGCGGGGAGGAAGGGAGUAAAGUUAAUACCUUUGCUCAUUGACGUUACCCGCAGAAGAAGCACCGGCUAACUCCGUGCCAGCAGCCGCGGUAAUACGGAGGGUGCAAGCGUUAAUCGGAAUUACUGGGCGUAAAGCGCACGCAGGCGGUUUGUUAAGUCAGAUGUGAAAUCCCCGGGCUCAACCUGGGAACUGCAUCUGAUACUGGCAAGCUUGAGUCUCGUAGAGGGGGGUAGAAUUCCAGGUGUAGCGGUGAAAUGCGUAGAGAUCUGGAGGAAUACCGGUGGCGAAGGCGGCCCCCUGGACGAAGACUGACGCUCAGGUGCGAAAGCGUGGGGAGCAAACAGGAUUAGAUACCCUGGUAGUCCACGCCGUAAACGAUGUCGACUUGGAGGUUGUGCCCUUGAGGCGUGGCUUCCGGAGCUAACGCGUUAAGUCGACCGCCUGGGGAGUACGGCCGCAAGGUUAAAACUCAAAUGAAUUGACGGGGGCCCGCACAAGCGGUGGAGCAUGUGGUUUAAUUCGAUGCAACGCGAAGAACCUUACCUGGUCUUGACAUCCACGGAAGUUUUCAGAGAUGAGAAUGUGCCUUCGGGAACCGUGAGACAGGUGCUGCAUGGCUGUCGUCAGCUCGUGUUGUGAAAUGUUGGGUUAAGUCCCGCAACGAGCGCAACCCUUAUCCUUUGUUGCCAGCGGUUAGGCCGGGAACUCAAAGGAGACUGCCAGUGAUAAACUGGAGGAAGGUGGGGAUGACGUCAAGUCAUCAUGGCCCUUACGACCAGGGCUACACACGUGCUACAAUGGCGCAUACAAAGAGAAGCGACCUCGCGAGAGCAAGCGGACCUCAUAAAGUGCGUCGUAGUCCGGAUUGGAGUCUGCAACUCGACUCCAUGAAGUCGGAAUCGCUAGUAAUCGUGGAUCAGAAUGCCACGGUGAAUACGUUCCCGGGCCUUGUACACACCGCCCGUCACACCAUGGGAGUGGGUUGCAAAAGAAGUAGGUAGCUUAACCUUCGGGAGGGCGCUUACCACUUUGUGAUUCAUGACUGGGGUGAAGUCGUAACAAGGUAACCGUAGGGGAACCUGCGGUUGGAUCACCUCCUUACCUGAAAGAA
rnacentral:rRNA from 1 species